CCUACGGGUGGCAGCAGUGAGGAAUAUUGGUCAAUGGGCGGAAGCCUGAACCAGCCAAGUAGCGUGCAGGAUGACGGCCCUACGGGUUGUAAACUGCUUUUAUACGGGAAUAACGCGCCUUACGUGUAGGGCUUUGCAUGUACCGUAUGAAUAAGGACCGGCUAAUUCCGUGCCAGCAGCCGCGGUAAUACGGAAGGUCCGGGCGUUAUCCGGAUUUAUUGGGUUUAAAGGGAGCGUAGGCCGCAUGUCAAGCGUGCUGUGAAAUGUCCGAGCUCAACCCGGGCCUUGCAGCGGAAACUGGCGGGCUUGAGGGCGCGAGAAGCAGGCGGAAUUCGUCGUGUAGCGGUGAAAUGCGUAGAUAUGACGAAGAACCCCGAUUGCGAAGGCAGCUUGCUGCAGCGGAACUGACGCUGAUGCUCGAAAGCGCGGGUAUCGAACAGGAUUAGAUACCCGUGUAGUC
rnacentral:rRNA from 1 species